GCCAGGUGUGGUAGCCCAUGCCUGUAAUCCCAGGAACCUGGGAGCCUGAGGCAGAAGGAUCACAAAUUCGAGGCCGGCCUUAUCAAUUUAGAGAGGCCCUAAACAACUUAGUGAGACUCUGCCUCAA
rnacentral:sRNA from 1 species